AUUGAACGCUGGCGGCAGGCCUAACACAUGCAAGUCGAACGAGUCGCGGACGUGUGUGUAAUGUCUGGGCAACUCCCAGGUGGGGGGGGAUAAAUUGUGGAAACGGUAGCUAACACCGCAAACCAGCCGAUGUGCCCAGAUGGGUUUAGUUAGUAGGUGGGGUAAAGGCUCACCAAGGCGACGAUCCCUAGAUGGUCUGAGAGGAUGACCAGCCACACUGGAACUGAGACACGGUCCAGACUCCUACGGGAGGCAGCAGUGGGGAAUAUUGCACAAUGGGCGCAAGCCUGAUGCAGCCAUGCCGCGUGUAUGAAGAAGGCCUUCGGGUUGUAAAGUACUUUCAGCGGGGAGGCGUUACCCGCAGAAGAAGCACCGGCUAACUCCGUGCCAGCAGCCGCGGUAAUAC
rnacentral:rRNA from 1 species